AUUGAACGCUGGCGGCAGGCUUAACACAUGCAAGUCGAGCGAGCGGCGGACGGGUGAGUAAUGUAUGGGGACUGCCCGAUAGAGGGGGAUAACUACUGGAAACGGUGGCUAAUACCGCAUACUAUCGGAUAACCCAUAUGGGAUUAGCUAGUAGGUGGGGUAACGGCGCACCUAGGCGACGAUCUCUAGCUGGUCUGAGAGGAUGAUAAGCCACACUGCGAUGGAGAAACGGAGCAGACGCCGACGGAGGUAGCAGUGGGGAAGAUUGCACAAUGGGCGCAAGCCUGAUGCAGCCAUGCCGCGUGUAUGAAGAAGGCCUUCGGGUUGUAAAGUACUUUCAGUCGGGAGGCGUUACCGACAGAAGAAGCACCGGCUAACUCCGUGCCAGCAGCCGCGGUAAUUC
rnacentral:rRNA from 1 species